UCUGCCCCUGCCCCCCCCCACACAGACACACUCUCUCUCUCUCUCAAAAAUAAACAUUAAAAAAACUUUUUUUAAAAAGAAUUCAAAAUCAAACGUGAAAGUGGAUGUUAUAGAGAAUGAAAAAAAUUGCUUACAAAUUUUAAAAGUUGGUGGAUACUAUAAACCUCACAAAAUCCAGAAAGAUAACAGAUUUUAAUUAACCACUUGACACGCCUCUAUGUGUCAGGCAGCUAAUAGAAAAAUAACAUUGGCUGCUACGUUUGAUUGCUUCUUAUGAGAAUUUCAUAGCACUAUUUUGCUGGCUAUGAAGAUCAUGCCAUCUUUCCUCCUGCGCGGUUGGUUGAAAUUUGGUUUUUUGGUGGUUUGGAUGCAUAGACGUGUGACCACACACAGAUGUCUCUGCUGUUUGUAGUGAAUGCUGAUAAACUUUAUUUCACGUGCUCCUAUCAAAAAGGGGAAAGUAAGGCCCAUGUUUAGCUGCUUCUGCUAUGCGAGGAGGACGCUCUCGACAGAAUUCCAUCUGUCCCGUUACGGAUGGAAACUGAAUCCUCUGAUGGGAGUUUUCCUGAUUGAAAGGAUUUUCUAGGGCACCGGGUGGCUCAGUUGGUUAAGCGUCCGACUCCGGUCUCAGCACAGAUCACUGUCUCCCAGCUCGUGGGAUCGAGCCGCGCAUCGGGAUCUGCGCUGACAGCAGAGAAUCCCAAGUGGAUUCUCUCUCUCGCUUUCUCUCUCUCUCUGCCUCUUCCCAGCUCGCUCUCUCUGUCGCUGUCUCAAAAUAAAUAAAAGAAAGAAAGGAUUUCCCCCCGAGUAGCUUCUGUUCCAUGCACUUCAAAACCUGCCCUCACCCACAGCGACUCUGUGCCAAAUCCCUCCGGACCUGGCCGCGUCACGUGUUUGUGGCCACACCGCAUGUUCACAGCUAGGCCACGCGUUCCUGGCCACGUGACAUCAGCACAGCAAUGUCCGCAAUCUCAUGGUGUCCAUACCACGGGAUCCCCUCUGUCGCCACCUGCACAUCAGAGUGCCUGGCGAUUCCGCUCGGUGGAAAGCAGGAGUGUGCCCGGAAGCCGGUCCACACCAGACAGCACCGACCAGGGAAGUCACUGUGAACCCCCAACCACAUCCCACCAAACCCAAACUAAGCGUACCCCUAGGGCGGGUCCCGACGUGCUCCCAACCACUCCAGCGCCUGUGAGAGACGAGCUGGGGUGGAAAGAGGCUGUGGUCUGAAGCUAUUGUAUUCAAAUGUCUCACUUUUGCAAAUUUGACACCUUGUGACCACAAGUGGGGAUCCCUAGCUGGAUCCCCACCUGGCCCUGGAUCCCCAGGGAGGGGCCUGAAGCUUGUCCCUGUGGCCCCAUAGGAGCUCCCCCCCACUGGGCAGGAGUUAAGUGUCCCCGCUUAGUGAUUGGCCUUCGCGGUGGCCAAGUGCGUCGACGCGCUAAAAGCCACCGCACUUCCCCACGACGUUGACCUAAGUCUAACCGGGACCUGCAGGCGGGAGCGAGCGACACCACUGACGAGUGACAGCAGGCAAGAUCGCCCACCCAAAAAGCGAGUGUGGGUUGAUGGCAUCCAGUCCUCGGUUGGCAAAAAUCGCUGCCCGUGUUUUCCCCACAAGUCUGGAGAACCCACAAAACGGUCAGUCGUCUCCAGCAUGUUUCUUUACUUGAGGAUGUUCCCUCGACCCGUCAGAAGUCAGCAUGGACUUCAGCCCGUCUCCCCGAAACCCCAGAGAACGUGCAGCUGAGACCCGGCCGGCGCGUGUGCUCGUCACGUGCUUCCUCGUGGUGAAACUUGCAGGAGAGGCCGGCGUUCCCAGCGCACUUGCUGCAAAUGUCGAGUACUGGUCGAGUUCUGUGAUAGCCGGACAGCGCCGUGAGGGCAUCGCGGCCUCGGGGGUUCUUCCGUGUCUGCUCUGCUGUCUGAGGACCCCCUCCUCCCUAACGCGAGGUGCCAGAGCCCCAGCCGCCUCUGACAGCUCCUCUCACUGCCCCGUCCCCAGAUGCGCGGCACCCCGACGCAGGGGUGUAACACCACAUCCUAUUCUUAACAGAAAUGCGUACCUAAGACCAGGGAAGACAGAGCUCCCCCCGCGGGGUCACGGUGCCUUCAUGACAGACGCUUCCUCCAACAUCGUGAGCCGCUUCUUUGCAUGGUGCCCUGGAAAUUCGUGCGUCUCUGGGCCAAGGUAGCCAGACUCUAUUCCUUGUUGGCUUUGAUGGCCCAAGCUGCCAGGUCCUGAUUUCCUUCAUGAAGACAUCCAAGUGGCAAGAAACCAAAGGUGACCUCCAGCCAAAAGCCAACAAGGAGCCGAGACCCUCAGUCCAUCUGCCCACCAGGAACUGAAUCCCGACAACAACCAUGUGAACCAGGAAACAGAUCCGUCCCCAGUCGAGCCGUCAAAUGAGACCGCAGUCCUAGCGGGCCCAGUCAAGUCAUGUCUGGAUUCCUGACCCGCAGAGAUUGUGAGAUGAUAAAUGUGUGCUGUUUGUAGCCACUGAGUUUUGUGACGAUCUGUUAACAAAGCAACAGAUUUCCAAUACAUCUUGUCCCAGAAACAUUCCUUCAAGCAUUCCGUCAAUAUCGAUUUGCCAAGCACCAGUCUAGGUGCUCAGCAUGCAUCGGUGACCAAAACAGAGUAAAAUUCUUGCUCUUCUGAA